UCUCCAUCUGCCCGUUUUCCUCGACCCGGCCGAGCCGCUGCGCACGGUAGGUUUUUGUCCUUUUGAAUUUGGAGCGGGAUGUCGUUCCCCUUUCUCAUUUGGAUAAGGCGGAGGGAGAGAGAGAUCGAGCGGCGGAGGAGGGCAAGGCGAUUCCUCCUGUUCAUGGCGAUUUGGAGCUCAUUCGCCGCAGGAUUCUGACUUCAUCCUCUUCCUCUCUCCGCUAAUCUGGUUUAAAUGGGUAAGCUGCGGAAAGCUUCUCAUCGGGAUGUUCCUUUAGUAUCAUCUUUAGAGAGUGGAGAUUCUGGGGGUGAACCAUUUGUGCCUAAUGAUUUUGCAGAAGAUGGUUGUUACCCUGUGUCUAUGAAAUUAUCUGAUGACGAAGGAGGGCUUGACAAAGCUCUUCUGAAGUUCUAUCUUAAUCAAUAUGUUUUAUUUUAUCUAGGACUUUUCAUUCUUGUUUCAUUUUUGACAUUUUUUCUUUUCUCUUGUUCGAUAGUUGUGUUUUCCUUAUUUUUUCAGAAAGUAAAAUGCUUGAAGAGGAAAUUAUCAUCUGCUUCAAGGAGGAAUGUGGUUAGUUCCUAUUUACUCUGAUUUCAGUAGUUUUUUACUCGAGGCAGAAACGCUCUAGUGAUUACCCUUCCUGUGCUACUUUCACUAGAUAUUAUGGGAAGUUCUUCUCUGGUCUUGUUGAUGGACUGUGUUCUAGGUAUCAUGGUGUUGUCCAGAGAUAUGGCAUGGGAUGUCUUUUAGAGUUUGUUAGGACCGAGGUUCCCCUCGGGUUGAUGAAGUGGCUCGCCAGUAGGUUUGAUGUCCCUUCAUCUGAAUUCCAGCUCAAAAGGAAAUUUAUCCCAAUGACCAAGUAUGAUAUUCAUGACAUCCUCGACCUUCCAGUAGAUGGUGAGCCACUUGUGUGUGAUCCUAAAUCCGGCCGUGAUUUUAUCCUCUCUCUCACUUUGACUUGACCAGUAUUCCUCCCGUGUCCUUCUUUGCAAACAAGCUAAAGUCAACAGAAGUCGAGUUGCCUGAUGAAGAUGUCUUUAUUUGUUUCAUGAUUGUUGCUUUUUCAUCAUUCCUUUGUCCCAACUCUAGCCUCGGUCCUAGCCCAAAGUACCUACAUAUCUUCAGGGAUUGUCCUUUCGUGCGUAACUAUGAUCUGUCGAGAUUUGUUUAUGAGUGGCUGUUGAGUUGCAUAAAAAAGUUCAAGGAUUCCACUAAAGUUGCUUCCAAAAGAUCAGUGACAUUUGGCGGUUGUCACUAUGCUUUUGCUGUUUGUUACCUUGACCAACUUAAUUUUGGUCUUCACUCUGUCCCUGAUGUCAAGCCUCAGAUCCUAGUAUGAAAAGGUAACAAAGUUAAGCAAUUUUCAGAGCUUGAUAGAAACAAUAGCCGCUCUUUUGGUAAGAGGCCUCUAAAGCAGUUGUGUCCUUCAUUUCAUUUGCAGG